CGUUUUUUUCAUUUAAUUUAUGUGAUCGUUGUCUUUCUGAGUUUAAUUAUGCAUAUGUUUUGUUUGUGAUAUUGUUUUGGUGAUUUACCUUGGCACGGUCAUGGACUUCGACUAUAUACAAAAUAACAAAACCUCUCAUUAAUUAUUAUCCCCUCAGUCCCUCCUUCGCAGCCAUUGCCGCCCAUUCCCCUCAGUUCUAAUAACUACUCAACUAAACCCAUCCUCUCUGUCUAAAUCCUCCUAAAAUUUUACCCAGCCCAGAAUCCCAGAUCGAGCUGAUAUCUUCGUCGGCAAGUGAUCGGAGGUUUCUGUCUCUGUUUUUGUUGGGUAUCGCAAGUGAACUGAAUUUCUGGUCUAGUAGCAAGUUAGAAGAGCAUUUCUGUGGAAAGCACUGAUUUUCCGUCGACUUCUCAGAUUUUCCGUUAAUUCUCUGCUUCCUCAAACGAGAAAAGGCUCAAGCCGAUCUUUGUCGCCAUUGCCGACGACACAUCUGAAAUCCCCAAAGUUGCAGAAGUUGGGAAGGUUGGUUGAAAACAAGGGUUGGAGUGAUCUUUGUUUAAUCAAGUAAG